AUGUUCGAGCUCCUGCGGUUCAUUGAGGUGGCAACAAACAUUUCUAAAAAAAUAAAGAGAGGCGAGAUUCAUCUGCUUGAUUUCGUUUUUGACGUCAUGCUCCCAGAGGUGAGUAGAUCAAACUAUAUAGCUUGCUUUGAAAAAUGAUGAUAUUGUUAAGAGGUUGUUCUUAUUCAUUUGGAAAGCUCAAGAACAACAAUUAACCCAUACUGCAUAACUUCAAUUGUUCACAUUAUUUGACUGUUUUUCAGCUUUUGAUCAAAGCACUGAAGGAGCAUGGCAUCAACCGGUUCAGAGCAGAGCUGAUGAUGGCCUGUGGCAACGUGUUUUAAGCCCCCCACCACACCGACGGCAGUGCUGAAUUUUGUAUAUAUAUAUAUUUUUUUACUGUUCACAAUUUUGUUUGGAAAAAAUUAAAGAAAUCUUCAAAGCAGUUGUAUGACAAUUUCCCAUUUCUUUACACAGUCUGUAAUGAUAUCGCUAUUCAAUUGUUUUUGCUAUAUGGCUCUUCUGAACCUUAAAGAGAUCAUGUGAC